rnacentral:sRNA from 1 species
AAUCUCGGAAGUGCGCGCGGCCCCGUCCCCGAAAGUCGGCUGGGCUCCGCUCCAAUCCCGGAAGUGCGCGCGGCCCCGCCCCCGCCGGUUCGCGUCUCUCUGCUGCGGCGCGGGGACCGCUGUGCUCUCGACCGCUCCUCCUGUAGAGAGUGGUGCUGCCAUCUCGGGAUGUACCUGCAGGUAGAGACCCGCACCAGCUCCCGCCUCCAUCUGAAGAGGGCUCCAGGCAUCCGGUCCUGGUCCCUGCUGGUUGGAAUCUUGUCGAUUGGCCUGGCUGCUGCCUACUACAGCGGAGAUAGCCUGGGCUGGAAGCUCUUCUACGUCACAGGCUGCCUGUUUGUGGCUGUGCAGAACUUGGAGGACUGGGAGGAAGCCGUCUUCGACAAGAGCACAGGGAAGGUUGUUUUGAAGACGUUCAGCCUCUACAAGAAGCUGCUGACUCUUUUCAGAGCUGGCCACGACCAGGGUGAGUUGUGGGGAGCGUGGGGACAUGGGACACAGUGGGCCACAGAGGCGGCACACUUGGGCGUCUGGGUCUGGGUGACCCAUGGGGCCUAGAGGGGGGCCUGGAAGCGCCUUUAGUCCAAGCUCGCCUGCUUGGUGACCAGGGUUGUGUCCUGCCCGCUGGACGCAGGAUCCCAUGGAUACGCCCCACCUGCUCACCUGCUCAGCGGGGUCCUAGAGCCUCCUGGGUUCUUUAGAGGUUUGGCCCCUGGGGAGAGUGGGAGGAACAGGGGUCUGGAGGAGCAAGGGUCUGGCAGAGCAGGGGUCUGGCCCGCCCGGGCUCGGGCAGCCUCUGUUUAGCUGCGUUCUCCCGCCUGCCUGGCAGCCACUUGUCCCCAGGUGCAGUCUGGCCCCAGUGGCAGGUCACAGGACGGGGCAGGGAGAGCCAUGGCAGCCCGCGGGCGUUCUGGAGUGGGGGUCUGGAGUGGGGCCACCUGGUUUCUUGUGGGCCUUGGCGCUGCUCCAGCUUUCCUAUGGGUUCUACUGGGCCUGCAGUAGGGGCUGGAUGGUCCGAGGAACUCCCCACCCUUGAGCCUGGGCACUGGCCCAGCUGUGGUCAGUACCAUUUUCCUGUAGAUGCUGCC